AAAAAAAAAAGCUAAUACCGAAUGUGCCCUUCGGGGGAAAGAUUUAUCGCCUUUAGAGCGGCCCGCGUCUGAUUAGCUAGUUGGUUGAGGUAAUGGCUCACCAAGGCGACGAUCAGUAGCUGGGCUGAGAGGAUGAUCAGCCACAUUGGGACUGAGACACGGCCCAAACUCCUACGGGAGGCAGCAGUGGUUUAUUUUUUUCUAUGGACGCAAG
rnacentral:rRNA from 1 species